rnacentral:rRNA from 1 species
GAUGAACGCUGGCGGCGUGCUUAACACAUGCAAGUCGAGGGGCAGCAUGGUCUUAGCUUGCUAAGGCCGAUGGCGACCGGCGCACGGGUGAGUAAACACGUAUCCAACCUGCCGUCUACUCUUGGACAGCCUUCUGAAAGGAGAUUAAUACAAGAUGGCAUCAUGAGUCCGCAUGUUCACAUGAUUAAAGGUAUUCCGGUAGACGAUGGGGAUGCGUUCCAUUAGAUAGUAGGCGGGGUAACGGCCCACCUAGUCUUCGAUGGAUAGGGGUUCUGAGAGGAAGGUCCCCCACAUUGGGAACUGGAGACACGGGUCCAAACUCCUACGGGAGGCAGCAGUGAGGAAUAUUGGUCAAUGGGCGAGAGCCUGAACCCAGCCAAGUAGCGUGAAGGAUGACUGCCCUAU